rnacentral:rRNA from 1 species
CCCUUAGAUUUUCUGGGCAGCACGCGCGCUACAAUGGUCUUCGCAAACGGAUGCAUUCUCGAAGGAGAAUGCCAAUCUUGGAAUCUAUGCCUUGGUCGGGACAGUUGCUUGCAAUUUUUCGACUCGAACCAGGAAUUCCUUGUAAUCGUGAUUCAUCACAUCACGAUGAAUACGUCCCUGCCCUUUGUACACACCGCCCGUCGCUCCUACCGAUCGAAGAGUUAGGUGAAUUGUUUUGAUCGAUAAGAUUUGACUAUGGUCAACUCUCGUUGUGAAAUUCUGUGAAUCUGACUGUUUAGAGGAAGGAAAAGUCGUAACA